CGCGGAGGAAUAUAGCCAUUCCACACAUCACUUACUAGUGAUCAAUGCACAAGUGUAUAAAGGGCGAGAUUUGGUGUGGCUUCACACCCCUUUGCCCUCAAAACAUCUUCAACUGUACAACAUUCACAAGCAUCGUCUACCAUGUCAGGCAAAAAGGAACCAGAAGAGAAGAUAGAGCAAAAGAGUCAGCCGCAGUUAUAUUCAGUUUCUGUGUCCCCACAUACUACGGCAACUCACACUGUCGAGCCCCAGGAAAAAGACAACGGAUCUAAAAAAGGUUCGAAAUCUGAUGACUCGAACAACUCGAACUCAAACAGCAGCAAUGGAACAAAGGGGAAUAGUAAGAAGUAAAGAUUUAUGAUGGACUCGAAGAAAACCUUUGGUUCGCGUCGCAUGGCAAUAGCCUGAGUCCUCUGCAAUGUUUCCAUCUCAUCAGCAAUUUGCCAGUCAGUGUUAAGAUGUACCAGUCAGCACUUCUCGACUUCGAGGAUUUGUUUUCCGUCAAUCGUCAUCUUCAUACUCCAAUAAUACAAUCAAUUACGCUGUUACUGUAACAAAAUGCACAUCAUAAAAACAGUUUAUUUUGUGAAUCGCCGGCGUACAUUUCACAUUUAUAACAGUAUUUUAUUCCAAUUGAAGUUAUGUACAUUUAGUGGGUGCUCCUUGAAAUAACUAAAAAUAAACUAACUAACUAAACACUCAUAACUAACGAAAAAAAAAAAUGCAACUUUUACAAAACUUCUGUUCGAAACCCCAGUUUGUAAAUACACAUGUGCGAACAUUUUGCGUUGUUUUGUGUCCAUUAAUUUUCAAAUUUUAAUUUUCAAUUCCAGAAGAAAACAAAGUGUUAUCUGGUUUUAUAAAUACAAUUCAAUUGAAACAC